rnacentral:rRNA from 1 species
CGAGCUGGGUUCAGAACGUCGUGAGACAGUUCGGUCCCUAUCCGUCGCGGGCGCAGGAAAUUUGAGAGGAGUUGCCCUUAGUACGAGAGGACCGGGGUGAACAAACCGCUGGUGUACCAGUUGUUCCGCCAGGAGCAUCGCUGGGUAGCUAUGUUUGGAUGAGAUAAACGCUGAAAGCAUCUAAGUGUGAAACCCACCUCAAGAUGAGAUUUCCCAUGAUUUUAUAUCAGUAAGAGCCCUGAGAGAUGAUCAGGUAGAUAGGUUAGAAGUGGAAGUGUGGCGACACAUGUAGCGGACUAAUACUAAUAGCUCGAGGACUUA